rnacentral:rRNA from 1 species
GAUGAACGCUGGCGGCGUGCUUAACACAUGCAAGUCGAGCGAUGAGGCCCAGCUUGCUGGGUGGUUUAGUGGCGAACGGGUGAGUAACACAUGAGCAAACUGCCUCUGACUCUGGGAUAAGCGCUGUAAACGGCGUCUAAUACUGGCUAUGUCAUGUCACCGCCUGGAGUGCGGGUGGAAAGAUUUUUCUGUUGGGGAUGGUCUCUCGGCCUAUCGGCUUGCUAGGGCGGUAAUGGCACACCAAGGCGUCGACUGGUAGCCGACCUGAGAGGGUGAACGGCGACACUGCGCCUGAGACACGGCGCAGACGCCUACGGGAGGCAACAGGGGGGAAUAUUGCAGAAUGGGCGGAAGCCUGAUGCAGCGGCGCCGCGUGAGGGAUGACGGCCUUCUGGUUGUAAACAUCUUUUAGCAGAGAAGAAGCGAAAGUGACGGUACCUGCAGAAAAAGCACCGGCUAACUACGUG